AAAUUGAAGAGUUUGAUCAUGGCUCAGAUUGAACGCUGGCGGCAGGCCUAACACAUGCAAGUCGAACGGUAACAGGAAGCAGCUUGCUGCUUCGCUGACGAGUGGCGGACGGGUGAGUAAUGUCUGGGAAACUGCCUGGUGGAGGGGGAUAACUACUGGAAACGGUGGCUAAUACCGCAUAACGUCGCAAGACCAAAGAGGGGGACCUUCGGGCCUCUUGCCAUCAGAUGUGCCCAGAUGGGAUUAGCUUGUUGGUGAGGUAACGGCUCACCAAGGCGACGAUCCCUAGCUGGUCUGAGAGGAUGACCAGCCACACUGGAACUGAGACACGGUCCAGACUCCUACGGGAGGCAGCAGUGGGGAAUAUUGCACAAUGGGCGCAAGCCUGAUGCAGCCAUGCCGCGUGUAUGAAGAAGGCCUUCGGGUUGUAAAGUACUUUCAGCGGGGAGGAAGGUGUUG
rnacentral:rRNA from 2 species